GAUGAAGAACGUAGCGAAAUGCGAUAAGUAAUGUGAAUUGCAGAAUUCAGUGAAUCAUCGAAUCUUUGAACGCACAUUGCGCCCGCCAGUAUUCUGGCGGGCAUGCCUGUUCGAGCGUCAUUUCAACCAUCAAGCCCCCGGGCUUGUGUUGGGGACCUGCGGCUGCCGCAGGCCCUGAAAAGCAGUGGCGGGCUCGCUGUCACACCGAGCGUGGUAGAUUUUAUCUCGCUCAGGGCGUGCUGCGGGUUCCGGCCGUUAAACCACCUUCAUAACCCAAGGUUGACCUCGGAUCAGGUAGGAAGACCCGCUGAACUUAAGCAUAUCAAUAAGCGGAGGA
rnacentral:misc_RNA from 1 species